GUCGAUAGAAGACUCACCUACAAUCUUCACUGAAAAUGAAUCGUCAGUUGACAAUUGCUACAAUUUCGGUGGCCGUCAUCUUGUUGCUGUGUUCCGGACCAGUCGCUGGCCGCUUUAGUAAACACGAUGGAGAUUUUGCCCCAGGAUAUAACCUAGAUUUCCUCCAAACCGCCGAUCAAUACAAAGAAUCAGCGAGAGUAAAACGAGCGACUUUACCUGAGCUGGAGAAGCACGAUACAGAAGAUGCAGUUCACUUGCGC
rnacentral:lncRNA from 1 species